UGAAAUGAUCUUAAGUUAGACAUCAUAUGAAAUAAGGUUAUCCUGGCAUAAGGUUUACACCUUAUGUUGAACAGGUUGUCCUAUAUUGAUAUUGAAUGAUUUUUGAAAAAUAUUUUCAUGUUUAGAUCUAAUUUUAUUCAUGUAUGAGAUGUAUGAAUAUUAGUUUCGAUCUGAUAUAUGAUCAUUUGUUCGAUGUCGAUAUGAUAUAAGAUUGUCCUGGCAUAAAGUUCACACCUUAUGUUGAAAAUGUC
rnacentral:lncRNA from 1 species